CCCUGUAAAAAAUACAAAAAAGAAAUUAACCAGAUUCUCAGCUGGAUUCCAGUCUCAUCGUACUCUCAUUUCACAGGAGUGUCAGAACAGAGAACAUUCCACCUGGGAGUCCAGGGAAGGCAGUUAUUGCUUUUAGAAUAUUGAUGCUACACUCUUCUCACGUAAGUACUCAUAACUGUUAAAUCUGCAUUAUGGAUUAUAAUGUUUAUUAUUGUAAAGUGCCAUUCUCUGUAACAGGUAUUUAUUUACUUAUUUAUAAUCCUGAAUUCAAUAAUUUACCUUAUUAAGGUUAUGAUAUCCAUGUUUUUGUGUUUUCAUUUACCUGGAAUGUUUUUUGUGCAAACUGUUUGAAUUGCUUUAUUUACAUGAGUAUUGCUU